UAGUGCUAAAGUUUGGGACAAAUCUCCG
rnacentral:sRNA from 1 species